GGGGCGUGACCUCCUUAGAGGCGGAGUCUCCCAGCGGGGACUGAGACCGGAAGUCUGGGCGGGGCUUUCCAAGUGUGCGCUCACGCCUCGGGGCGGGGCUAACCAGGCAGAGAAUUCGCGGACAGAGUUGGGACUUACUUUCCCUCUCCCCGACCAGUUUCCUUCCCCAGAUCCCUGGCUCACCCGAAAGCACCUCUCCCCACCACUCGGAUCCGCUCGUACUUCUCCAUCUCAUUUCUCAGUCACAUUUCCGGAACCCCUACACCCAGACGCGGCGCGUGCGCGGACCCGCCCACCCUAGGGCCACGCCCCCUACGUUGAAAGAUAAUUGGGGGCGGAGCAAGUGAGAUUGGAGUUGGUUCAGCCUUGUAUCUGUUUUGUGCUGUUUACUGGGUCUUACCAGCCCCCACGCACAGUUACUUUUUCAGGGUCCGAGGAACGGAGUGUUACGCCGUUUCUUGGCGCGGUUAGCGGGUGGAGGAGACACGGUCUCCAGGCCGUCCGGACUUGUGAGCACCGCGCUCGUCAGCACUUCCAACUCCCCCCUGCACACACACAACUUUGCCUCAGGUAAUCUGCCUUCAACGCUCAACUAUAGGGAGAAUCUCCUUGAGAGGGGGAUGAAAGGGAAGUGGACCACUAUCUGAAAACAUCAGAGAGAGGAGGAAAGGGAGCUGUUUGGCCGAUGUGGGUUCAAAGCUUCUGCCUAAACGUAGGGGGCUGGUCAGUACGACUGUCUUGAACAGGAGUGAGUUUAAUUCCUGUU